ACCCAAUGUAUAGAGAUAUACAUUACCUAUAUAGGAGCGAACGAGGGGAAUUGAAACAUCUUAGUACCCUCAGGAAAAGAAAUCAAUAGAGAUUGCGUCAGUAGCGGCGAGCGAAAGCGCAAGAGGGCAAACCCAGUGCUUGCACUGGGGGUUGUAGGACUGCAAUGUGCAAGAGGUGAGUUUAGCAGAACAUUCUGGAAAGUAUAGCCAUAGAGGGUGAUAGUCCCGUAUGCGAAAAACAAACCUUAGCUAGCAGUAUCCUGAGUAGGGCGGGACACGAGAAAUCCUGUCUGAAGCUGGGUCGACCACGAUCCAACCCUAAAUACUAAUACCAGAUCGAUAGUGCACAAGUACCGUGAGGGAAAGGUGAAAAGAACUGAGGUGAUCAGAGUGAAAUAGAACCUGAAACCAUUUGCUUACAAUCAUUCAGAGCACUAUGUAGCAAUACAGUGUGAUGGACUGCCUUUUGCAUAAUGAGCCUGCGAGUUGUGGUGUCUGGCAAGGUUAAGCAAACGCGAAGCCGUAGCGAAAGCGAGUCUGAAUAGGGCGCUUAGUCAGAUGCUGCAGACCCGAAACGAAGUGAUCUAUCCAUGAGCAAGUUGAAGCUAGUGUAAGAACUAGUGGAGGACUGAACCCAUAGGCGUUGAAAAGCCCCGGGAUGACUUGUGGAUAGGGGUGAAAGGCCAAUCAAACUUCGUGAUAGCUGGUUCUCUCCGAAAUAUAUUUAGGUAUAGCGUUGUGUCGUAAUAUAAGGGGGUAGAGCACUGAAUGGGCUAGGGCAUACACCAAUGUACCAAACCCUAUCAAACUCCGAAUACCUUAUAUGUAAUCACAGCAGUCAGGCGGCGAGUGAUAAAAUCCGUCGUCAAGAGGGAAACAACCCAGACUACCAGCUAAGGUCCCUAAAUCUUACUUAAGUGGAAAACGAUGUGAAGUUACUUAAACAACCAGGAGGUUGGCUUAGAAGCAGCCAUCCUUUAAAGAAAGCGUAAUAGCUCACUGGUCUAGUGAUUUUGCGCGGAAAAUAUAACGGGGCUAAAGUAAGUACCGAAGCUGUAGACUUGACUUUGUCAAGUGGUAGGAGAGCGUUCUAUUUGCGUCGAAGGUAUACCGGUAAGGAGUGCUGGAGCGAAUAGAAGUGAGCAUGCAGGCAUGAGUAGCGAUAAUUAAUGUGAGAAUCAUUAACGCCGUAAACCCAAGGUUUCCUACGCGAUGCUCGUCAUCGUAGGGUUAGUCGGGUCCUAAGUCGAGUCCGAAAGGGGUAGACGAUGGCAAAUUGGUUAAUAUUCCAAUACCAACAUUAGUGUGCGAUGGAAGGACGCUUAGGGCUAAGGGGGCUAGCGGAUGGAAGUGCUAGUCUAAGGUCGUAGGUGCUUAUACAGGCAAAUCCGUAUAAGAAUACACCGAGAACUGAAAGGCUUUUUGAAGUCUUCGGAUGGAUAGAAGAACCCCUGAUGCCGUCGAGCCAAGAAAAGUUUCUAAGUUUAGCUAAUGUUGCCCGUACCGUAAACCGACACAGGUGGGUGGGAUGAGUAUUCUAAGGCGCGUGGAAGAACUCUCUUUAAGGAACUCUGCAAAAUAGCACCGUAUCUUCGGUAUAAGGUGUGGUUCGCUUCGUAUUAGGAUUUACUCCGAAAGCGAAGAAACUUACAACAAAGAGUCCCUCCCGACUGUUUACCAAAAACACAGCACUCUGCUAACUCGUAAGAGGAUGUAUAGGGUGUGACGCCUGCCCGGUGCUCGAAGGUUAAUUGAUGGGGUUAGCAUUAGCGAAGCUCUUGAUCGAAGCCCGAGUAAACGGCGGCCGUAACUAUAACGGUCCUAAGGUAGCGAAAUUCCUUGUCGGUUAAAUACCGACCUGCAUGAAUGGCGUAACGAGAUGGGAGCUGUCUCAAAGAGGGAUCCAGUGAAAUUGUAGUGGAGGUGAAAAUUCCUCCUACCCGCGGCAAGACGGAAAGACCCCGUGGACCUUUACUACAGCUUGACACUGCUAUUUGGAUAAGAAUGUGCAGGAUAGGUGGGAGGCUUUGAGUAUAUGACGCUAGUUGUAUAUGAGCCAUUGUUGAGAUACCACUCUUUCUUAUUUGGGUAGCUAACCAGCUUGAGUUAUCCUCAAGUGGGACAAUGUCUGGUGGGUAGUUUGACUGGGGCGGUCGCCUCCCAAAUAAUAACGGAGGCUUACAAAGGUUGGCUCAGAACGGUUGGAAAUCGUUCGUAGAGUAUAAAGGUAUAAGCCAGCUUAACUGCAAGACAUACAAGUCAAGCAGAGACGAAAGUCGGUCUUAGUGAUCCGGUGGUUCUGUGUGGAAGGGCCAUCGCUCAAAGGAUAAAAGGUACCCCGGGGAUAACAGGCUGAUCUCCCCCAAGAGCUCACAUCGACGGGGAGGUUUGGCACCUCGAUGUCGGCUCAUCGCAUCCUGGGGCUGGAGCAGGUCCCAAGGGUAUGGCUGUUCGCCAUUUAAAGCGGUACGCGAGCUGGGUUCAGAACGUCGUGAGACAGUUCGGUCCCUAUCUGCCGUGGGCGUAAGAAGAUUGAAGAGAUUUGACCCUAGUACGAGAGGACCGGGUUGAACAAACCACUGGUGUAGCUGUUGUUCUGCCAAGAGCAUCGCAGCGUAGCUAAGUUUGGAAAGGAUAAACGCUGAAAGCAUCUAAGCGUGAAGCCAACUCUAAGAUGAAUCUUCUCUAAGCUCUCUAGAAGACUACUAGUUUGAUAGGCUGGGUGUGUAAUGGAUGAAAGUCCUUUAGCUGACCAGUACUAAUAGAGCGUUUGGCUUAUCUUUAAUAAAGCAU
rnacentral:rRNA from 1 species